rnacentral:rRNA from 1 species
AUGGCGAAGCCUGAUGGAGCACGCCGCGUGCAGGAUGAAGGCCUUCGGGUUGUAAACUGCUUUUAUAAGUGAGGAAUAUGACGGUAACUUAUGAAUAAGGAUCGGCUAACUACGUGCCAGCAGCCGCGGUCAUACGUAGGAUCCGAGCGUUAUCCGGAGUGACUGGGCGUAAAGAGUUGCGUAGGUGGUUUGUUAAGUAGAUAGUGAAAUCUGGCGGCUCAACCGUACAGGCUAUUAUCUAAACUGACAAACUCGAGAGUGGUAGAGGUUACUGGAAUUUCUAGUGUAGGAGUGAAAUCCGUAGAUAUUAGAAGGAACACCAAUGGCGUAGGCAGGUAACUGGACCAUUUCUGACACUAAGGCACGAAAGCGUGGGGAGCGAACCGGAUUAGAUACCCGGGUAGUCCACGCCGUAAACGAUGGAUACUAGCUGUUGGAGGUAUCGACCCCUUCAGUAGCGAAGCUAACGCGUUAAGUAUCCCGCCUGUGGAGUACGGUCGCAAGACUAAAACAUAAAGGAAUUGACGGGGACCCGCACAAGCGGUGGAUCGUGUUCUUUAAUUCGAUGCUAAACGAAGAACCUUACCAGGGCUUGACAUCCAGGGAAUUUUUGGGAAACCAAUUAGUGCCUUUUGGAACCCUGUGACAGGUGAUGCAUGGCCGUCGUCAGCUCGUGUCGUGAGAUGUUUGGUUAAGUCCAUCAACGAGCGCAACCCUUGUACUUAGUUGAAUUUUUCUAGGUAGACUGCCCCGGUAACGGGGAGGAAGGAGGGGAUGAUGUCAGGUCAGUAUUUCCCUUACGUCCUGGGCUAGAAACACGAUACAAUGGCAAGUACAAUGCGCAGCGAAGCCGCGAGGUGGA